rnacentral:lncRNA from 1 species
GUUGGAAGGAUGAUUUAUAUAUUAAUAUGUAUGUUAAACCUUCCUCUCUGUCUUUGUGCAUAGCAUGUGCAUCAUGCAUCUCAUGCAUUACAUGCAUUAUACUAACCUCUUGAUUUUUAGCCAUAUAGAUACUCCUUUGGAUUAAAGAAAACAAGAUAGUGAAAGGUUGGAGAGGACACCAAUCUCACCAGGAAUCCGGAUUGUACUAGAGCUUCUAAAAAAACUAAGACAUCAAGCUUCCAUAAGCGA